CCUACGGGAGGCAGCAGUGAGGAAUAUUGGUCAAUGGACGGAAGUCUGAACCAGCAAUGCCGCGUGCAGGAAGACGGCUCUAUGAGUUUUAAACUGCUUUUGUACAAGGGUAAACCUGAAUACGUGUCUUCAGCUGAAAGUAUUGUACGAUUAAGGAUCGGCUAACUCCGUGCCAGCAGCCGGGGUAAUCCGGAGGAUCCAAGCGUUAUCCGGAUUUAUGGGGUUUAAAGGGUGCGUAGUCGGAUUGAUAAGUUAGAGGUGAACGUUCCGGGCUUAACUAUGGAACUGCCAUUUAUACUGUUGAUCUAGAGAAGAGGUGCGGGAGGCGGAAUGCAUGGUGUAGGGGUGAAAUGCUUAGAGAUCAAGAAGAACACCGAUUGCGAAGGCAGCUUACCAAUCUAUAACUGACGUUGAGGCACGAAAGCGUGGGGAGCAAACAGGAUUAGAUACCCUUGUAGUC
rnacentral:rRNA from 1 species